rnacentral:rRNA from 1 species
GACGUAGGGUCCAAGCGUUGUCCGGAUUUACUGGGCGUAAAGAGCGCGUAGGCGGUCUGUUAAGUGAGAAGUGAAAUCUCCAGGGCUCAACCCGGAAACUGCUUUUCAUACUGGCAGACUUGAGGGAUGCAGAGGUGAAUGGAAUUCCUGGUGUAGCGGUGAAAUGCGUUGAUAUCUGGAGGAACACCAGUGGCGAAGGCGGCUUCCUGGCCUGUAACUGACGCUGAGACGCGAAAGCGUGGGGAGCGAACCGG